rnacentral:miRNA from 1 species
UGCACUUUUUGGUAAGAAGAUGUUAACAAAAGUUGUUCGUCAUGAUGAGGGCUACAACUUUGCUUAAUAUCCUUUUAACAAAUUAUGCGUAUUUAAGGAGAUAGGGCUGCGCAUGCGCAGAACGUAUCUCCCUAGCUUUGCACUUUUUGGUAAGAAGAUGUUAACAAAAGUUGUUCGUCUUGAUGAGGGCUACAACUUUGCUUAAUAUCCUUUUAACAAAUUAUGCG